ACAAGUGUUUGUGAGAUAGAGCUGAAGAUUCCAUUACCUAGGAGACGAGGAAGAUAUAUAAGGAAGGAUUCAGUUGACAGUGGAGCUUUUUGUCUCUGGAUCCCUAGAGAGCAGGAGGUAAGUCUGUCUUGCUUUUUACUAUUGAAAUUGGGAUAGAGAAAUGGAUUUAAAGAGUUUGUAGAUGGUGGCUUUUUAUUUAUUAGUAUAGGUAGUUAGUUAGUGAAUUAAUUUCUAGGUAGGCAGUGUAGAUAGUUAGGCCUGGUUUGCCAGGCAGAAGAACCUGUCCUUAAAAAUGUUUAGAGUAGGGUCUUUUAGAAAUUUUAGGUAGGAUUAGGAAUUUAGGUAUAGUUAUAAGGUAUUAGAGUAAUAAUCUCUCUUUUCUCCUUUCUAUUUUCUAUCUGUACUCCUCAAAUUAAACUAAGUGUUUUAUCAAAUUGUUCUUACUUUAUCUUUAUGAAGAUAUUUCACAAAUCUAUAUAUCUGGUCCUUGUCUCUUCCCAAGCCCUGGUAGAGCAUUAUCAAACGCAUAUUAGCUAUUUUAUAAUGUAUAUCUCAUUGUUAUGUCAGACUUAGUAGGUCCAGAACAGAAUGCUCUCUCUUUAUCUCUGAACUCAUCUUCCAAACUCUCCUGUGUAAACAACUUACUACCUCAUCCUCUGGGUAAGUAUCCUUCUUCUAACUACUUUUUUAAUGAUAAAAAUGUUAAGAUUUUAAGAUUUACAAAUAUCUUUCCAUGUAAGAAUAUAAGCAAUUUGACCUUAGUGAGUCCCUCAAAUAUUCUUUUUUUUAAUUUACCUUUUUAUGCCUCUCUUGAAUUUUGUAUUUGUACAUCAGACUUUCUUUUAAGAUAUGGUCUUUUCAAUAAGAAUGUUUGGAAAUCUUCUAUUUUAUUUAAUGACCAUUUUCCUCUGAAAGAAUAUACUCAGUUUUAAUGGGUAGUGUAUAAUUGAAAAUCUGUUACAUUUAAAAAGAACUACAUUUCCCAGGAACCCUCUUACUUUCUGUCCUUAUGUACUUCCUGUAGACAGGGAUAUUAGACGGGUACCUGGAGGGUCCCACCCUCUUUUUGGCUCUGUCAGCGAGCAUGGUGGUGGUGAGUGGGGAUUUUGAAAUGGCUAAUCAUCCAUGGACAUGUGGUCUUUAUUUUGUAUCUUUUUUAUUCCUUGAUUUCUAAUGAUCAUUUAAUAAAUCUCCUAAAAUAUAACAUUUUUAUUAUUUGACAUUAAUUUUAAUUUUUAUAGUUUUUGGCAACCAGAAGGAAUGAGAAAAACUCUCAAUUUUUUAAAGAUAGGCUAGAUAAAUUUUAAGCCAUAUUUCUCCUGCCAAGGCUUUUUGCCCACUCCACCAUCCACCCACCGUCUCUUUGGAGCUGCUGCCCUGCUCCUGCCAGUUUGUAUGUUUGUUUGUUUGUUUUUUAUUUCCCUACUUUUUGCCCAGUUUCCCUCCCUACUGGCCAGGCUAUUUUUAGCCAGGGGACUCUUGGCAAAGAAGAGAUAAGCCACUUCUCUUGCACAUCUGCUUGAGCCCGUGUUCCUCAGGUCCUCGCUGCUACUUCUGGCAUUGCUUCUUUUCCUGAUGCUGCUUGCUCCUACUCCUGAAUCAUCCUCCUGAUCUCUGGCCCCAACCCCGACUACUAUUGUGUUCCUGCUGGGCUGCUGGUAACUGCUGUGGAGAAGCUAGGAGUCCUUGGAUCCACUCUUCAGAAUGCUGGUAAAAACCAGAGUGUAUUUUCCUUGGGCAACAAUUAGCUACCUCCCUCCCUCUGGGGAAACUAGUGUUUUACCUCAGGGGGGAAGGGAAGAAGGAAGUUACUUUUCCAAACAGGAAGUAAAUUACAAGCAUGGUAAACUCUAUAAAAGAGCAGUACCUUGCCUAUUUCAAAUAGCUUCUACCAUUCAUGAGUGCACUGAUCCUUUCACUUAUCUUGCCUGAGAUUCAGGGGAGAAAUUCAUCUCCCUACAACCCUUUCUCAUUUGGGCCUACCCAGUCUCUAAGAUUCAUCCAGUUUGAGAUUCCUCAAAUCCACGUUCUCUCUCUCUAUGGGAAACCCCACGAUUCUGACAAAAGGAAUCUGAACAGAUAGAGAAAGGAACUUGAGAGAGUCUGGAGGUGAAAAUUUUAAGCCUCUUCAGACUCCAUUGUUUUAUGAAAGUGUCUGUAUUUUAUUGUAUUUUGCUGAUUGUUUUAAGAUUUAAUUUUGUUGUUUUAAGUUCAUAUAUUAAUGUAUUCAAUACUAUUCUGUUAUACUUAAUCAGUUUAAUCUAAUGUGUUUUAACUAUUAGAUAUAUUCUGUUACCUUUCCCCUAUAACUAUACUGAUCAAAAUAUUGUAAAAGCCAAUAAACAGCUUUUUUUCCAUUUUGUAUUUGUUAAUUGUCACAUAGAUGAUGGAUGGACUCAAUCUGGCUAACAACAUUUGGAGAAUUUAAUGAACUAAGAAUUAAAAUGGUAAUUCUAAGGGGUCUUCAGAAGUAAUUUUAAUUAACUAGUGGUUUCUAAGUGGAUUUAUUUAUUUCUAUUAGAAAGAAUAUUGUAUUAAAGGUAGAGAAACAAAGAAAUGUUCCUACCAAAGUGUCUUAUAAGGCAGGAAGCCAAAAAGAGCUCCUGCAAAACCCUUCAGUUUACUUUACUUCCACCAGAACAAUCUAGAUUUCUUGGUGAUGAUCUAGAUCCAAAUAAAUUUUACUUUGUUUAAAAAUAUUAUUUUUAUUUUGAAACUUUGAAAGAUUUACUAUGUUUAUAAAAAUUGUGACAAAUAUCCACCAAUUCAUAGAUUUUUUUAAACCCUUACCUUCCGUCUUGGACUCAAUUGACUCCAAGGCAGAAGAGUGGUAAGGGCUAGGCAAUGGGGGUUAAGUGACUUGCCCAGGGUCACACAGCUGGGAAGUAUCUGAGGCCAGAUGUGAACCUAGGACCUCCCAUCUCUAGGCCUGGCUCUCAGUCCACUGAGCUACCCACCUUCCCCCCAAUUCGUAGAUUUUUAAAAUGCCAUACAGCAGACUCAUGUGAAUCCUAAGGAUAUUGGGUUUGUUUGCUAUUGCCAUUAAAUGGGCUAUUAUAACUUUGGGGAUUUUGAUACUUCUUGAAUAUUCAUUACCUAUUGUACUAUUGUUCUUUAUAAAAACUGUUACUUUGUAAACAGUGGAUCAUGGUGAAGUUUGAAAAGGAAAUGGAUCUCAUUUUUUGGGUGAGAAACCUUUGUACUCUACCUUUCCUUAGCUGACAUAGUGUCAAUGAUUGUAAGCUAUAUAUUUUUUUAUUUUUAAAACUUUAUUAUUGUUGUUGUUUUUGCUUGCAUGUGCAAUAUGCUAUUUCAGUCUUAUUUUUACUCUCCUUUUUGUAUUGGAAGCACAUGUGACCAGUAUUGGGAAGAUUUCUUUAACUUUUUUGAUUUUGCAGUAAUAUACGUUUAAAUCACAUUUGCUAUAAUAUUAAUGCAUACAGAAAAAGUUUUAGACUAUAAAAAUGAUACCAUUGAUUGAUUGUUUAAAAAAAUUAUGGGACUAUGCUUAAUGAUUCUUUCUUGUUCCAGGAGAAGGAAAUAUAAAAAGAGCCAUUGCACAGUGCCAUAGAAGCACAAAGCUAAACUGCAUAGGGCCAAUCAAGCACAAGGUCAAAGAGACCAACCAAUCCUAAUGGGAUUGAUGAAAUUUUGAGCCAAGGCAAGAGGACUUGAACUUGUUUGGGGUUCGAGGUUGCGGCUGUUUUGACAUAUGUCAAAGGCAGGACUUCCUUGUCCCACAUUCUCCCAAGUAUCUCAAAUUUGGCUCCUACCUGGUUCCUGUAAUCUAGUCUCUUUUCUCUCUUAUAGUAUGGCAACUUCCUGUAGUCUUGGCUGCAAAUGGGUAAGUGAAAUAUUAUUGCAUUUUGUCCUACAGACUUGUGGGAUAGAAAUUACUUUAAUUGGGCCCUGAUUCAAGAACCUGUUAUAAAUUUAUUUUUCUUUUACUUAGAAUUUUUACACAUAAGUCUUUGAUAGCCUAUAUUAAUCCAGAAGUUAUCUUUUCUCUUUUAUUUGGAUUUUCGGAUUUUUUUCUCUUGCCAAUUAAUUCCUCCAUAACUCAGCCAUGCAUCCCUAAGUGAUUCCUGUGUUUUUCAACACUCGCUUCAGGGAAAAAUGUAUAGCUAUUCUAUGCAAUGUUUACAUUUAAAUUUAAAAUGCAAAGUUUAAAUUCUUCUGAGAGUAAUUUUAGGUUAAGAAACAUGCUAUCUCUCCAAAUCCAGAAAGUGAACUGUUUAGAGCAGGCACCAUGAAGAUGCCUCCACAGACCACACACUGCACCAGAAGAUCCAGAGUGAAUUUUGGGAUGUGAUGAUCUGUGUGGGGUUGGAUGCAGUUGUUUUGUAUGUAUACUCUUAUGCUGAAGGGGACUGCCCUCUAACUGGCUUUUUAUCAAUGUACCUAACAAUCAUUGGUUUUGUUCUCUUUUUCUCUGAUCCUCAAAUUAAUGUAAUUUAAAAGUUGGUUAUGUUUACAAGAUCCAUUGGAGAGACCAGUCUUCCACAGAUCUCAGGGGGGAAUGAAUAAUUGAAAAUAUGUUACCCUUAAAAAAGAACUACAUUUCCCAGGAGCCCACUGACUUCCUGUCCUUAUGUACUUCCUGUAGACAGGGGAUAUUAGGCAAGGAGCUGGCGGGUCCUGCCCUCUUUUUGUCACUAUUGGUGAGCAUUAUGGUAGUGAGUGGAGAUUUUGAAAUGGCUAAUCAGCCAUGGACACAUGGUCUUUAUUUUGUAUCUUCUUUAUUCCUUGAUUUCUAAUGAUCAUUAAUAAAUCCCUUAAAGUAAAUAUAUUAUUUUUAUUAUUGCACAUUAAUUUUAAAUCUUACAGUAGGUGAUUCUUAGUUGUAAACUGAAUUCCCUUGCCUUCCAGAAUAUCAUAUUCCAAUCCUUCCAAUCCUUCUUUGUAGAAGCUGCCAGAUAAUGUGUAAUCCUGACUGGGCUCUAUGAUAACUCAAUUGUUUAUUUCUGUCUCUUUGCAGUAUCUUUUCCUUGACCUGGGAGCUCUUGAACUUGGCUAUAACAUUCCUGGUAGUUGUCAUUUGGUGAUUUAUUUUAGGGGGUGAUCUGUGGAUUCUUCCAAUUUCUAGUUUAUCUUAUUGUUCAAGAAUAUCAGGGCAGUUCGCUUUGAUAAAUUCUUGUAAUAUGAUGUAUGGGCUUCUUUUGAUCAGGACUUUCAGGCAAUGUAAAAAUGGAUUGGAAUCCAGGACUUCAAUCCUCACAAGCCUUUGCUUCACUUCCCCAGAAUGCCUUGUAAUCUCACCUGGGCCGAGAUCGAGAAGGGAUUUAACCUGAUUGCAAAGGCUUUCGAGGUCUCUUUUGGACUUCCGUUUUGGGGCAGACGUGGCUCUUUUCAUAAUGUAGGUGAGGUUGUGUCUAGGCCUCUCUGUGGCCUGGACACAUGUUUUCUUAUCCUGUAUUUUCUUUAAUCCUUAACUUUUAAUAAACCUCUAAAAAUAUAAUACUCCUUGUAGAGAGAAACUAAUUUCUACCUGCCUCAGUCUCCCCUAAAUUUUAAUCUUUACAGUUGGCGACCACUAGAUUGGAUGAGAACUUCUCAAAUUUUUUAGCCUAGAUAAUGAUUUUUUAUGAUAUUUUUAAUGAUUUUCUCCAAGAUGCUUUUUAGAAAACCAUCUUGAUCAGCUCCUGCCUGCGGCCCUCUCCGGCUCCUGCUUCUGCUCCUGGCCUCUCACCUGGUGCCUGAGCUCCCAGCCCUUUUUGUCCACACUCCGGCUCCUGGCCCUGCCCACCCCACGGUCAUUCUCUCGCUCACCUGGCCCACCUGAUUCAACCAAGAUUGCAAUCACCUGGUGACCUGCCUGCCCAACAAACCCAGUUCCUUGAAGCAGAUCGCUCCGGACUCAUUUCUAUCAGCUGUGAUCAUGGCCAGACAUGAAGAGGAAAUGGAUCUCAUUUUUGGACAAGAUAUGCACAAAAGAGCCAUUGGACAGAGCCAAAGAAAACCCAAUCCAGGAUGGAUUGAUGCACUUCUAGGCCAAUACAAAGGUUUUGAACCUAGUGUGAGACUUGGGGUUGCAACACUUGACUUAUGUAGGCCUUAAGAUGUAGGCCUUCCUUGUGUCCACACUCACUCUGAAGAUACUCCCAGACGAGUAUCCCCAAACUUGACUCCUACUUGGCUCAUAUAAUCUGGUCCCUUUCUUUUCUGCCUCUCUUAGUGUUGCAGCUUUCUGUAGUCCUGGCUACUGACUGGGUAAAUGCAUCAUUGCUUAGAUCAUUUUGAUUGGGCCCUGAUUGAAGGACCUGUUAUAGAUUUAUUUUUCUUUUACUUGGAAUUUUUACAUAUAAGUCUUUGAUAGUCUAUAUUUUCAUCCAGAAAUUUUUUUCUUUUCUUUUGGAUUUUUCUGAUGGUUUUUUUUUUAUUUCUCUUGCCAAUUGAUUCAUAUACUUCAUACCUCAGCCAUGCAUCCCUAAGUGAUCCUGGUUUUUUAAUCACCCUCUUAAUGGGGGGAAUGUAAAAAAUAUCAUUAUUUAAAUUGCAAAGUUUAAAUUCUUUUUGAGAAGAAUUUUAGGUAAAGAAGAUGCUACCUCUCUGAAUCCAGAACUGAACUGUUGGAGAAGAUACUAUGAAGAAGCCUCCAGACCAGCCAGCUGCACAAAAAAUUGAACUUUGGGUGUAGUUGAUUGAACAUUUAUUUGUAUGUAUACUUUUAUGCCAAAGGGGACUGCCCCCUAACUGGCUUUUUGUCAAUGCAUUCAGCAAUCAUUGGGGUUUUUUCUCUUAUUCUCAAAUUACUGUAAUGUUUAAGUUGAUUAUUUUCUCAUGAUCCUUUUUUGGGGAAACUUCGCCCCCCAACAAUGAUCAAAUGGAGGAAUGUAAAAAUGGAUUGGAAUCCAGGACUUCAAUCCCCACAAGCCUUUGCUCCACUUCCCCAGAAUGCCUAGUAAUCUCACUUGGUCCGAGAUCAAGAAAGGAUUUAACCUGAUUGCAAAGGCUUUUGAGGUCUCUUUCGGACUUGUGUUUUGGGGCAGAUGUGGCUCUUUUCAUAAUGUAGGUGAGGUUGUGUCUAGGCCUCUCUGUGGCCUGGACACAUGUUUUCUUAUCCUGUAUUUUCUUUAAUCCUUAACUUUUAAUAAACCUCUAAAAAUAUAAUACUCCUUGUAGAGAGAAACUAAUUUCUACCUGCCUCAGUCUCCCCUAAACUUUAAUCUUUACAGUAAUCCAAUAAUUCUUAGAUUGUUUCUCCUGGAUCUAUUUUCCAGGUUAGUUAUUUUUUUGAUGAGAUAUUUCCUAUUUUUUUCUUCUUUUGAUUUUGUUUUAUUGUUUUUUGAAAUCAUUAUCUUCUAUUUGCCCAAUGAUUUUCUUCCAUGACCUUUUGAUCCUUGUUUUCCAUUUGGACAAUUCUGCUUUUCAUGGAACUCUUUUCUUCAUUGAACUUUUGUGCCUCUUUUCCCACUUGACCAAUUUUGCUUUUUAAGCUAUUAUUUUAUUUUGACACAGUUUCAUUUUCCCCUAUUUUUCUUCUACCUCUCUUAUUUGAUUUUGAAUUUCUUUUAGAGCUCUUCUAGUGCCUGACACCAAUCCUCAUUUUUCUUUGAAGUUCUGCAUAUGUCUGCUUUGGUCUCACUGUCCCCUACUGAGUCUGUGCCUUGCUCUUCUUUGUCUAUGGUUAGGUAUUUCUUUUGCUGUUUGCUCAUUUUCUCAGCCUUUUUUUGCCCAUGACCUGGGAGUUCUUAAAACUGCUGAUUUCUGCUAGAGACUCAUACUGGCUCGCAGGACUCAGAGCACUGUGGUCUAUUUUGCUUUAGGGCUAGGAGCUUCACCAAAGGCUUCACCAAGCCAAGCUUUAUGGACUUUGGGGCCUUCCUUGCAGGCUGGUGCCAGAUUUUGGAAUUUCAAGGCAUGGGCAUGGGGUGCUGUGCUGUUGGUUUAGGCAGGGUCUCAGGAUCUCAAAUUCUGCUUAUUCUGAGGUUUGAAAACUGUCACAGUAGGUGAGGGUGAGUAAUAUGCAUUCUGCUGUGUACAGUUCUACUUCAUUUUCCCUUAUUCUACAAAUGACCCUUUCUGGGGGCAUCUGGGUGGUUCAGUGGAUUGAAAGCCAGGCCUAGAGACGGGAGGUUCUGGGUUCAAAUCUCACCUCAGACACGUCAUAGCUGUGCCUAGCCCUUACCACUCUUCUGCCUUAGAACCAAUACAUAGUAUUGAUUCUAAGAUGGAAGGUAAGGAUUUUAAAAAAUAGACCCUUUCUGCCUACCUUUCAAGCCGUUUUCUUCAAGAGAUUUACCUCACUCUGUCCUCUUGUUGAAUCCAUGACUCCAGUUUUUUUGAAGUGCUAUUUUAAGAAUGGUUUGAAAGGAUUCUUAGAGUGAUUGCAGCUUUUGCUGCUGCUAAACUUCCAUCUUGGCUCAGCCCCCAACUGUUGGAUCCAAUCCUGGACUUUUUACUGUUCCUUGUACUUGGUGUUCCAUCUCAAUUGCUCCUUUUAUGGACUUUUCCUCAUAGCUGGAAUGUGUUUUUUCUCACCUCUGCCUCCUACCUUUUUUCAAGAUUCAACUCAAACUCCACCUUCUGUAAGAGGCCCUUUAAUGGUCUCCUUCUACACAUCUCCUUGACUCCUAGUGUCCAUUUUGCAAUGUCUUUAUCUCACAUUUUCCUUGUUAUUUACAUAUUUUCUUCCUCAUUAAGGAAUGAGCUCCUUGAAAUAAGGGACUGUUUUUGCCUUUGUAUCCCUAGCAUGUAGCCUAGUGCCUGGCACAUAGUAAACACUUGAUGAGUGACUGUUUUAGGCCUCACUGUCUUCCAUGCUUUCCUUCCCCUUUCAUAGCCAGUAAGUUGCCACACCUUGUUGUUUCUUCCUCCAUGACAUCUCUCAUAUGCCUCCCUUUCUCUCCAUUUAUAUGAUCAUUACCCUUGUCUGCGCUUGCCUAGAUCAUUGCCAUACCCUACUAAAUAGCCCUAAAUGGUCUACCUGGCUUGAUUCUUGCCUCUUUGAAAUCCAUCCUUCACAGAGCUGCCAGGAUGGUUUUCUUAAAUUGUAGGUCUGACCAUGUCUCUUCCUUUCUUGAUAAACUCCAGGAUCUUCCUACUUCCCCUAAUGUCAGAAGCAAACUAUUGUCUUUGGCCUUUAAAUCCUUCAUGUCCUGGCCCCAACCUACUUUUAAAAAAAUUACAUUUAUUUUAUUUUAAUCAUAAAUCUACACAUAAGUUUUCCCAAUUUAUAUGAUUCAUGGUGUCUCCUUCCCUUCUUCCCUCCCACCUCCCAGAGUUGACAAGGAAUUCAAUCUGAGUUGUACAUGUAUUGUCACACAAAACAUAUUUCUAUAUUAUUCAUUUUUGCAAGUGAAUAAUAAUCUUAUAAAAACCCAAACCCCAAAUCAGAUACCCAAAUAAGUACUAUAUAUGUUUCCAUCUGCAUUUUUACUCCAACAGUUCUUUCCCUGGAGGUGGAGAGCAUUCGUUGUCAUAUGUCCCUCAGAAUGGUCCUGGAUCAUUGUAUUGCUAUUUGUUAGUAGCAAAGUCUAUCACAUUUGAUUAUUCCACAAUAUUGCUGUUACUGUGUACAGUGUUCUCCUGGUUCUGCUUAUUUCACUCUGCAUCAGUUCUUGUAGGUCUUUCCAGCUGUCUCUGAAAACAUCCUGUCCCUCAUUCCUUAUAGCACAAUAGUAUUCCACCACCAUCACAUACCACAAUUUGUUCAGCCAUUCCCCAACUGAGGGACAUCUCAUUAGUUUCAAAUUCUUUGCCACCACAAAAAGCACAUCUAUAAAUGUUUUUGUACCAACUGGCCCUUUCCUAAUUUUAAAAAUCUUUUUGGGAUACAGACCCAGUAGCGGUAUUCCUGGAUCAAAGAGUAUGCAUUGUUUUAUUGCCCUUUGGGCAUAAUUUCAAAUUCCAUUUAAGAAUGGUUAGAUCAGUUCACAGCUCCACCAGCAAUGCAUUAGCAUCCCAGUUUUGCCACAUCCCCUCCAACAAUUAUUAUUUUCCUUUACUGUCAUAUCACCAACCUACUUCUUAGACUUAUUAUUCAUUACUCCCUUUUGUGUACUUUACAGUUUAUCAAAACUGAUUUUCUUUUUAGUUGUACAUUACAAAUGCUACUCCAUCUUUCAUCUCCAUGCCCUUUGUAAAAAUGGAGAUUUUGAACCCUAGACUUCAAUCCCCAGAAGUCUUUGGUAUUUCCCAGAAUUCCCUAUAAUCUCACCUGAGUCUCCACCUGGGUGAGAUCACAAUUAGUAUUUAACUGGCAGUAACACCUAUCUCUCUCUUUUCCAUUGCAAUGAUGUAGUAAGUAAGCUUUGAAUGGGCUAAUAAGCCCUGGGCAUGCAGUUUCUUAUUUUGUAUUUUUUUAUUCCUUGAUUUUUAAUAAUCCUUAAUAAACCUCAUAAAAUAUAAUAUUUUUAUUACUAGAGACUAAUUUAAUUUUUACAGUUAAUGGCAACCACAAGACUUGGACAAGAACUUCUCAAAUUUUUUUUCCAUUUGAAUAAGUUUAUUUAGUCAAUUUAGAACACUACUUCUGGGUUACAAUAAUCACAUUAUUUCCAUCCUUCCCCUCUUCCCACUCUUCCUGCAGCCAACACACAAUUUCAUUGGGUAUUACAUGUGUCCUUGAUCAGAACCCAUUUCCAUGUUUUUGUUUACACUAGGAUGUUCAUUUAGAGUCUACAUCCCCAACAAAAUGCCUUCAACCCAUGUAUCCAAGCAGUUGUUUUUCUUUGGUGUUUUUACUCCCACAGUGUUUCCUCUGGAUGUGGAUAGUGGUUUUUCUCAUAGGUUCCUCUGAGUUGUUCAGGGUCAUUGCAUUGCCACUAAUGGAGAAGUCCAUUACAUUCGAUUGUACCACAGUGUAUCAGUUUCUGUGUACAAUGUUU